GCCUUCCGGCCGCCCCCGCCGGGCCUCGUCCCGCUCGCUGCCUGCUGCCCUCCGGGACCCCUGGCUCCCACGAGUGAAGGCCGGCGGGUGUCUUCUUUACUCUCACACAGGCGACGCUCCAUCGCGCGCCUCUGUCCGCCGCACUGAGCGCGGACCCUGCGCGCUCUCCACAGGCCUGGCGGCCGAGGGUCGGGAGCGUCUCCUUCUCCACAGUCCCCGUGUAUCCGUAUGAAAAGAAAGCGGACCCGAAAGAACCACUGUUGCCGAGGAACAGGUGAACGCGGGGCCAGAGCGAGGAGGAGGCAGAGCGGGCGAGCCUCACUGCAGAUCUGGAGCUCUGCUCUGCAGUGGCCCCAGCUUCUAGCUGUGCAUCAGCCUAGGCCUCCUAUUUAAUGCCCCAGGGCCUCCUGAGGUGAUGAGAUCCUGUGAGGAGCUGGGCAGGAAGUAACACUACGCAUGGCCAUGUGAUAGGACAGGGAUCUACACAAAUUGUGGAGCACACUGGUGAGCUGACAGGUGAACAGGCAGGCACAGCAUCACAAAGACCUACUAAAACAACAGGCAAACAGAAAAGAUGUCAGUUGUGCCCUACAAGAAAGGACAGGAAAAGAACAUGUGCUAUCAAUCGCUGGGGACCAAAGCCAGCCCUCGGCAUGUGUUCGGCAAGCACUAUCACUGCGUUCCAUGCGAGCCCUUUAAGACCUUUGCAAAACGUUUGUCUUCGUGUUCCUCUCCUAGAGAACUGCUGUAAUUCCUGGCCCCCUUCUAACAGGUUUUCCCCUGCAAAGACAUUUGCAGUCUGUGUACUUUCGGGAAGGAACUCUCCGCGGACUCUGCCGCCCCCGCCCUGCCCGGAGUCGCCCCUCACCCUCUUGAUGCAGUCCUCACUUCGCGCUCCCAAAGCUAAGACACAGCCUGGACUGCCGGAUACGGAAAAUUACCCCAAUCACUCCAGGGAAAGUGAUUACUUUUGGAGAACACUGAACAAAAACUAAACAGUAACCUUCCUGACACUGUAGCAGAAGUCCGAAUGUUGAUCUAAAAAAUGAGAUGGUUUUAUAACCUGACUUGGAGGAUUCAGUUACAGACGAGGAAAAAUUUGUCACCCUGCGACGGAACAGAAAAGUCUUAGAUGAGUAAAGCACAGAAAAGGACGGCAUAAAUUGUCUACAACACACUGAGUUAAAAACAGGAGGUGGAUGUGUAAGCUCCAGAAACAGCUUUCUUCCUGAGUUACAGACGUCAUAGCACAGUGAUCCGUACACAGCCGCGUUUAUAGCAGCAUAGCUCAUAAUAGCUAAAUGUCCAUCGUAAACACCACAGCGUGAGUGGUUCUGCUCCACUGAGAGUGCGGCCUCACCACCACCCAAAAGCAAUGGGCCACUGUCACAGAGGAAACCUCCCAGCUGUGACCGCUAACACCCUCUGAGAAGCCGUUGCCUCCGGAGCUGGACUGCACCUCAGAAUAAACUCAACAUCCUGCAAGGACAGUGAGCCUAAGAAUCUUCAAAAAGGAAACCUGAGUUUACAUGUUAACAAAGUGAAG